GACGAACCGUGCGAACGUUGUUCGGAAUCACUGGGCUUAAAGGGCGCGUAGGCGGGUCAGCAAGUCCGGGGUGAAAUCUUUCGGCUCAACCGGAAAAGUGCCUUGGAUACUGCUGGUCUCGAGGGAGGUAGGGGUUUGUGGAACUUCUGGUGGAGCGGUGAAAUGCGUUGAUAUCAGAAGGAACGCCGGUGGCGAAAGCGACGAACUGGACCUCUUCUGACGCUGAGGCGCGAAAGCUAGGGGAGCAAACGGG
rnacentral:rRNA from 1 species